GACGAACGCUGGCGGCGUGCUUAACACAUGCAAGUCGAGCGGUAAGGCCCUUUCGGGGUACGACGAGCGGCGAACGGGUGAGUAACACGUGGGUGACCUGCCCUCAGCUCUGGGAUAAGCCUGGGAAACCGGGUCUAAUACUGGAUAUGACUCCAUGACGCAUGUUGUGGGGUGGAAAGCCUUGUGCGGCUGAGGAUGGGCCCGCGGCCUAUCAGCUUGUUGGUGGGGUGAGGCCUACCAAGGCGACGACGGGUAGCCGGCCUGAGAGGGCGACCGGCCACACUGGGACUGAGACACGGCCCAGACUCCUACGGGAGGCAGCAGUGGGGAAGUCUUGCGCAAUGGGCGAAAGCCUGACGCAGCGACGCCGCGUGAGGGA
rnacentral:rRNA from 1 species